CGCUCACACUGGUCACUUGUUAACAGUGGUGAAGUCUACGUGAUACGCAGGUAUGCGCAGUAUACCCACUAACAAAGCUCCAGGAUUUCCAUAUACCCACUUAAAAAUGCCCAAUGACAAGCAACAACAUA